AUUGAACGCUGGCGGCAUGCUUUACACAUGCAAGUCGAACGGUAACAGGCCUUCGGGUGCUGACGAGUGGCGAACGGGUGAGUAAUGCAUCGAAACGUGCCCAGAGGUGGGGGAUAACGCAGCGAAAGCUGUGCUAAUACCGCAUGUGAUCUGAGGAUGAAAGCGGGGGACCAGGCAGCAAUGUUUGGCCUCGCGCCUUUGGAGCGGCCGAUGUCAGAUUAGGUAGUUGGUGGGGUAAAGGCCUACCAAGCCGACGAUCUGUAGCUGGUCUGAGAGGACGACCAGCCACACUGGGACUGAGACACGGCCCAGACUCCUACGGGAGGCAGCAGUGGGGAAUUUUGGACAAUGGGCGCAAGCCUGAUCCAGCAAUGCCGCGUGCGGGAAGAAGGCCCUCGGGUUGUAAACCGCUUUUGUACGGAACGAAAAGGCUCUGGCUAAUACCUGGGGCUGAUGACGGUACCGUAAGAAUAAGCACCGGCUAACUACGUG
rnacentral:rRNA from 1 species